UAAACUCGAAGAGGUAGAUUUGCCUCAAGAUAUAGAUCUUCUGAAUAAAUGGACUAUUCCGAAAGUUGAAUUAAAAACUAUUUAUGAAUAUGGAUUUUUUGAUAAAAUCAAACACAAACAGAUUAUUAAAACCUCAGAACAAUCUCUUGCUCUGAAUGCUGAUGAACAGAUUAUUCAACUUCUGCAUAAGCGAGAUAUUGAUAUGUUUAA
rnacentral:lncRNA from 1 species